UUUUAACAGUUUUCAGGGCUU
rnacentral:piRNA from 1 species